AACAAAUAUGGACAUAAUAAUCAAACUGGAGAACGUGGGGGAGGAAAACACAACAUGAUACAUGGAACAGAGUCUGACAGUAUGUAUAAGAUUCAUCUGUUCAUGCUUGAGCGUUUUCUCCUUGGGCCAUUCCAGAGGAAUAUUGCGGCGACCUUGAGAAAUAUUUGAUCAGCGAGGUGAAAAAUGUCUGUCGGCUUGUGAGCUGCAUUAAAUGCGAUCUACGCAGGACAGCCCUUUAAGGUCGACGACAUUCAGAGAACCCUUCCACAACCGAAUGGAACAAGCAAAUAUGAAAGCUACACAGACAGUCUUUUUCCUUUACUCACAGUCUUCUGGCUCAGGGAACCAGAAAAUACAUGUAGGCUCCUCAGGGUUAUUAUAGUUUACUAAACCUAA